rnacentral:rRNA from 1 species
AGAACGAACGCUGGCGGCAUGCCUAACACAUGCAAGUCGAACGAGACCUUCGGGUCUAGUGGCGCACGGGUGCGUAACGCGCGGGAAUCUGCCCUUGGGUUCGGAAUAACAGUUGGAAACGACUGCUAAUACCGGAUGAUGACGUAAGUCCAAAGAUUUAUCGCCCAGGGAUGAGCCCGCGUAGGAUUAGCUAGUUGGUGAGGUAAAGGCUCACCAAGGCGACGAU